AUGCACUCGGUGGGAAAGAUUGCCUGUAAGCUCCUGGCAAACCGGCUAGCACCUUUCCUUCACCUGCUGAUCCCUACCUCCCAGAGUGCCUUCAUCAAGUCGCGCUGCCUGCAUGACAACUUUCUUUACGUCCGCAAUGCGAUUCGAAGUCUGCAUCAGCUGAAGGAGCCCUCCUUAUUUCUCAAGUUGGAUGUCGCUGGCGCCUUUGAUUCGGUCUCCUGGGCGUACAUGCUGGAACUAAUGCCGAGGCUGGGUUUCAGGCAACGAUGGUGCAACAUCCUUGCCCUGCUUUGGAGUUCCUCCUCCUCCUCCUCCCGUGUAAUGGCGAAUCUUGGCCAGAGUUUUUGGCAUCGUUGUGGCUUGCGCCAGGGAGACCCAAUAUCCCCAAUGCUGUUCACUGUGGCAAUUGCUCCGCUUCACUGGUUGUUCAACAAGGCAGCACUUUCCGGUGCACUGUCUCCUCUUUGGGUUCCGCCCUCCCAGCUGCGGGUGAGCCUUUUUGCGGGCGAUGUGGCUCUCUUCAUUUCCCCCACAGCCGAUGAUUUGGCCACCACCAAGAGCAUUCUACUCACGUUUGGUCAGGCAUCGGGUCUCAUGGCCAAUAUCCAAAAGUGCGGCAUCUUCCCGAUUGCGUGCAAUGGGAUCGACCUGCAAUCCUUGCUUCGGCAGUUCCCAGUGCCCGUUCUUCAGUUCCCCUGCACCUACCUGGGUCUUCCGUUGCACUUCAGAAGCUUCACCCAUGGUGACGUGCAGCCCACUCUUGAUAAGCUGGCGGCUAGGCUGCAGAUUUGGAAAGGCAUGCUAAUGUCCAGCGAUGCAAGGCUGCGGCUCGUCAACUCCGUUCUUUUUGCCAUUCCGGUCCACCUAAUCACUGUGUUCAAGCAGGUUGACAAACUGCGGAGAAAUUUUCUAUGGAGGACCAGAUAG
rnacentral:rRNA from 1 species